AGAGUUUGAUCCUGGCUCAGGACGAACGCUGGCGGCGUGCUUAACACAUGCAAGUCGAACGGUGAAGUCCCUUCGGGGGCGGAUCAGUGGCGAACGGGUGAGUAACACGUGGGCAAUCUGCCCCUCACUGUGGGAUAACUCCGGGAAACCGGGGCUAAUACCGCAUAUGAAGCCUGGCGGCAUCGCCGGGUUUGGAAAGUUUUUCGGUGAGGGAUGAGCCCGCGGCCUAUCAGCUUGUUGGUGAGGUAAUGGCUCACCAAGGCGACGACGGGUAGCCGGCCUGAGAGGGCGACCGGCCACACUGGGACUGAGACACGGCCCAGACUCCUACGGGAGGCAGCAGUGGGGAAUAUUGGGCAAUGGGCGAAAGCCUGACCCAGCGACGCCGCGUGCGGGAUGAAGGCCUUCGGGUUGUAAACCGCUUUCAGCAGGGAAGAAGC
rnacentral:rRNA from 1 species